UGGGUAACCUGCCUCAAAGAGGGGAAUAGCCUCCCGAAAGGGAGAUUAAUACCGCAUAAUAUGUUUUAAUCGCAUGAUUUUAACAUCAAAGGAUUUUCUUAGGAAAUUCCACUUUGAGAUGGACCCGCGGCGCAUUAGCUAGUUGGUGAGGUAACGGCUCACCAAGGCAACGAUGCGUAGCCGACCUGAGAGGGUGAUCGGCCACAUUGGAACUGAGACACGGUCCAGACUCCGUAGGAGG
rnacentral:rRNA from 1 species